rnacentral:rRNA from 1 species
GACGAACGCUGGCGGCGUGCUUAACACAUGCAAGUCGAACGGAAAGGCCCUGCUUUUGUGGGGUGCUCGAGUGGCGAACGGGUGAGUAACACGUGAGUAACCUGCCCUUGACUUUGUGAUAACUUCAGGAAACUGGGGCUAAUACCGGAUAGGAUCUCCUGCUGCGUGGUGGGGGUUGGAAAGUUUCGGCGGUUGGGGAUGGACUAGCGGCUUAUCAGCUUGUUGGUGGGGUAGUGGCUUACCAAGGGUUUGACGGGUAGCCGGCCUGAGAGGGUGACCGGCCACAUUGGGACUGAGAUACGGACCAGAAUCCUACGGGAGGCAGCAGUGGGGAAUAUUGCACAAUGGGCGGAAGCCUGAUGCAGCAACGCCGCGUGCGGGAUGACGGCCUUCGGGUUGUAAACCGCUUUCGCCUGUGACGAAGCGUGAGUGACGGUAAUGGGUAAAGAAGCACCGGCUAACUACGUG